CCACAGAACUUUGACAAUUUACUUUCUGCUGAGAACAUCGUACAGAUGACAUGCAAUCACUGUCACGUGAAAGAAGCUGUCAUCCGUUGUGGGGAAUGUAUGCCCUCAGAGUGGUUUUGUGCUGAGUGUGAUGGCUCGGUGCGUAAACACCACACUCUACACAACAGGCAAACCAUCAUGGAUGGAUUUUUCAAAUACAUCCCACCAACAGAGGCUGUGACACUCUGUGACACUGGAAAAUACAGCAUUUGUGAACAAGAUUGUUUUCUGCCAACAGCUCUACCUCAAAGGAUAUGCUCCUGUGACACCGCUGAUGCAGCAGUCUCUGUUGGUAGAUCCAUCAUACUGGUUUGCAUAAAUGGCCGUUAUGAUCUUCACGUUCCGGUGCUAACAUGCAAACAUUGCAACCAGAAAUGGGCUCCAGAAGUCAGUGACUUUGUAAAGAGUGGUUACUGGCCUGCUACC